rnacentral:rRNA from 1 species
AUUGAACGCUGGCGGAAUGCUUUACACAUGCAAGUCGAACGGCAGCACGGACUUCGGUCUGGUGGCGAGUGGCGAACGGGUGAGUAAUGUAUCGGAACGUGCCCAGUCGUGGGGGAUAACGUAGUGAAAAUUACGCUAAUACCGCAUACGAUCUAUGGAUGAAAGCGGGGGAUCGCAAGACCUCGCGCGAUUGGAGCGACCGAUAUCAGAUUAGGUAGUUGGUGGGGUAAAGGCCCACCAAGCCAACGAUCUGUAGCUGGUCUGAGAGGACGACCAGCCACACUGGAACUGAGACACGGUCCAGACUCCUACGGGAGGCAGCAGUGGGGAAUUUUGGACAAUGGGCGAAAGCCUGAUCCAGCCAUUCCGCGUGCAGGAUGAAGGCCCUCGGGUUGUAAACUGCUUUUGUACAGAACGAAAAGGUUUCUACUAAUACUAGGAGCUCAUGACGGUACUGCAAGAAUAAGCACCGGCUAACUACGUGCCAGCCGCCGCGGUAA